AUUUGACAGUAGUAUAUAUGACACAGUAAUGCAUGCAUAUAUGACACCAAAAUGUGAUAUGGAUAUGAUUAAGCAGGUGCAGCAAAACGUACAUUAAUUAAACAACAACAAUUAACCCUCGGGCACGCCUGUGUUUUGUUAUCUCGCUCAACAUAUACGUACGUAAUACUUUGCUUGCAUAGCAUAGGGACGACGACAUUAUAUUCUUAAUUGAUAAACUCAAGAACGCAUGGAGAUGGAUCGAGAGAUUUAUAAAUAUGGAGCUUGCUUGAUUGAUUAGAUGAGGUCGUCCUCCUUGUGGGUCUCGAUGACGACGUCGGACUUGGGGUAGGCGUGGCAGGUGAGGACCCAGCCGGCGGCAACCUGGUCGUCGUCGAGGAAGCUCUGGUCGGACUGGUCGAUCUCGCCGGAGACCACCUUGCCGGCGCAGGAGGAGCAGGAGCCCGCGCGGCAGGAGUAAGGCAGGUCGAUCCCUUCCUCCUCCGCCUGGUCCAGGAUGUACACGUCGUCCGGCACCUGCAGCUCCACCUCGCCGUCCGGUGUGAUCAGCUUCACGUUGUACGUCGCCUGCAUCCGCAGCCUGUCUCCCAGCUUGUUGCUCGCCGGCAGCACCGACACGCGCGCCGGCGCCGGCGCCGUCGCCACCCGCAGGGACAUCGGCAACCGGACCUGGCUGCUCAGUGCCGUCGCCGCCAUGGCUGCUAUAGCUAAUUAAGCUAGCUAGCUGCUGCUGCUAGGUAAGGUAGACGAGGAGGAGAGGAG
rnacentral:misc_RNA from 1 species